CGGACCGCGAGAUCGUGACCUGAGCUGAAGUCGGACGCUCAACCGACUGAGCCACCCAGGCGCCCCUGCCAUCGGUUUUCAACAGCAUGGCUGGCGGCUGGCGUAAUUGGGUCAAUAGGUGGGUCUGAUGUGUCCCUCCCCUUUAGAACUCUCCAGUAAUUUCCAUCGCAAAGUCAAAGCAAAGGCCCUACGGUGCACGUUCUCCGUCCCCAUCCGUGCCCCCCUCCUUGCUUAUGCUGCUCCCUCCACGCGGGCUCCCAUGACUCUACCGGGGGUGCUCUUCCUCUGGCAGCCACAUGGUCGUGUCCCCCACUGCCCGCUGGCCUUUCCUUCCGUGUCCCCUCAGGCCUUCCAUGGCAACCUGACCCGAAAAUUGAACACCCCUCCUGUCUGCCCCUUCUUUCUUGAUUUAUUUGCCUCACCGUGAUCACUGGUGUGAUUUAUAAUGAGAAAUACACAUUUGGUCUUCAGCCCCAUUCCUGGCACAGUCCCCCUAAAACCCUUGCAGUUUCUUAAGAGCAACAAAGGUGUCUUGAUAUUUCUAACACAGCCCUUUCAACCACACCUGGGUUUAUAUUGAUGAAGUGGCCUCCAGGGAAGAGAGAGUGGCUGAAAGUUGGGUUGCUCACAAACUGCCAGCAAUUUAAUCGUGCCCAUGUAAUGAAGCCACCAUAAAAAUGCCAAAGGAUGGGAUCGGAGAGGUUCCGGGAGAGCGGCGUACCCGGAGGGUGCACGGAGGCCCCACGUCCUGUCCCCACGCCUGGCCGACGCGUCUCCAUCACAUUACAUUCUUCUGUAAUGAAACAGUGAUCGGCUUUUUCGUCUGGGAGCUACUCUUUAAACAAGAAAGUAAAAAUGAACAAGGGAGCCUGAAAGACAGCAAUACAUGGUGAGGGUAACAACAAUGAUGCUGACGGUGCUUUCCUGCGCGGCCAUUGCCCUCAGCACUCUGUGUGGACUGUCUCAUCAGUCCUCACCGCGACCCCAUGAGGUAGGCCCCGCCGACACCCCCAUUUCACAGGGGAGGAAGCUGAGGCAGGGAAGGGUUGCGGAGCUCGUCCAGGGGAUUUUAGCGAGCAAGGGGUUGCAGGACUUCCAUCCACGGGUCUGGCUAGAGUGGAGCCGCCUCUCCGCCUCUCAGAGGAGGGGGCACUGCCCUCCAGGAGCAUAGGGCCGGACCGUCUCAGCUCCAGCCUUGGCCUGACCUCCUUUGUUGAGAGACUGCACGACAAACGGAUGGCCAGACCAUACACGAGAUAGGAUUGUGACCCACAGCCUGUGGCCACCUGCCCAGAAGGCCUGCCUGCAAGCUCUAGUAGCCGUGCAGGAAGCCAGACGGUAACCCUGUAACAAUCGCUCCCAAAUGGCCAGGGCCUGACGAGUGACCACCAGCUCCCCUAAUCUGUGUCCCUGACUCUAGUUUAGGACCGACGAGAGACAGGCAAAUAUGCUCCCGUAACCACGAGGGUAAGACAGCGACUUGCAGUGAGCCUGCCUCAGCUCCCCUGGUCCCACAGGCUCCGGGCAGGGGGCACCUGCUUUCCUCGGUCUGCACUUUGAGAUUUCCCACUCCUCUGCCUGCCUUUGUGUUUUGGCCACAGUGGCCGUGGUUUCUUCUCCUUUGCCUGGUCUUCGCUGGUUUCCACAUCGUGUAAUCUUGGGCAAGCCCGGUGCCUCAGAUCUGCCUCCGCACAACGGGUCUGAUGACCGUAUUAGUGACUCCUUGUCAUGAGGGAGGGCAGCGUCCCUGGCGGGGCUCCUGAAGCAGUGCUGGAGACUACGUGAACACCCGUGGGGACUAAGUACGUGAAUGUAUGUGGGGACUAAAUACGUCAACGCAUGUGGGGACCAAGUACGUCAACGCAUGUGGAGACUAAGUACGUCAAUGCAUGCAUACUUCUAAUGGUGAUCAGUGCACCGCUGGCGUGAAUGGCAUUUCUACAGACGGGAAGGGGCUGGAGGAAAGACUGGCACUCUCCCUUCAUGGCGCUCCACACAAGGCGCUCUGAGUUUUCUACAGACUGAAGGUUUGGGCAACCCUGCGUCAAGCAAAUAUACUGGUGCCAUUUUCCCAACAGCAUUUGCUCACUUCGUGUCUCUGGGUCACAUUUUGGUAAUUAUCCCAGUAUUUCAAGACUUAUCAUGAUUAUUAUAUUCGUGAUGGUGAUGGGUGAGCAGUGAUCUUUGACGUUCCCAUUGUCAUUGUUUUGGGGCGCCACGAAUCACACCCUCAUAAGAGGGAAAACUUAAUAAAUGUUGUGUGUGUUCCAACUGCUCCACUGGCCGGCUAUUCCCCAUCUCUCUCCCUCUCCGUGGGCCUCCCUGUUCCCAAAGACACAACAGUGGUGAGAUUGGGCCCAUUAAUACCCCUACAGUGGCUCCAAGUGUUCAAGUGAGAGGAGGAGUCAUACGUCUGUCUCUCCCUUUAAAUCAGAAGAAACGAGAAGUG